CUGUGGUUAUUCCCGUUUUUCUGAUGAAGACAGCACAGCUUGGAGAAGGGAAGACGCUUACGCCAGGCUGUGCCGUUGGCGAUGGAGGGGCCAACCCUAGCAGGCUGACGGCAAGGCCACCUGGCUGCCGUGAGCAUUGCUUCCUGGAAGCAGGACCUUCACCUGUUUCCCUGGCCUCAUAGUCAAAACACCUGGGGCCCAUCCGCACCUCUCCUACGGGCUGAGGUGUGACAUGGGUAGAUUGCUGGCCUUCCUGCCUCGCAGUCUUCCACCUCUCAUAAAAUAACAGUGCCUACUGUUUUUGGGGAGUGAGUUUAGUGAUAAUCCGUCAUGACUCGGAAGCGCUUAGCUCCACGCUGGGAACAUAGGAAGUGCUUGGGGCGGAUGGGAUUGUCCAAAGAUGGCCAUAUCGAUGUUGAUACCUUCCCACGGGCUCUUUUUCCCAUGUGAUGGUGACACUCCUUCCCUGACCACUGGGUGUAGAAUCCCUUUUCUUGAACCAGCAUGUGCUUGGCCAACAGAAAGAACACUGACUUCUGAGGCUAGGUCAUUAAGCGUCCACCUGCCUCUCUCAUUUGGUCUAUCUCGAGACAUGGGCCCGGCUGUCUGAGGCUUCCCACCCUGGGCACCAACCACACUGAGUGAGACCAACGGCCCCGCCUCAGAGCCGCCGCCAGGAUGCCGAGGAGAGCAGAGGCCAACUGUCCCCACCAAGCCCUGACCCGACUGCGGAUCUAGAGCCUUCUCAAAAGCUGAAGUGCUUGCCAGGACCAAGGUGGGUAUUAAACCCAUGAAUAACGGCUGAGGCUUCGUCUGAAGACUCCAUAGUUUCCCUGAAGGGACGCAUAUUCAUAUUCGUCUUUUAACCAAUGGAGAAACCAGAAGAUGACUCACCCUUCAGAGCUGAGGGGGCAGUCAUGAUGCCUUUGACAAGAAUCCCUCUGGCUUCUGGAUUUUUCUAGGCAAAUGCUUUGCUUCUGCACAGGAUUCCUUUAAGGAGGACUUUCCUAGGGCAUCUAAGAAUUUGCUUCCAGACCAUGAGUAUCUGAUGGAAGGCAGAGGAAGGAAGAGAAACAAGAGCUCUUGUCUGCUCUACCUCCAGGAGGAAUGAAGACAAAUGAUGAAGGAUCUCUGAAAUCAUGUAAAUCAAUGGAAAAAACAAGAUGGAUUCCCCAAAUUAAAUUUAUAUGCAAUUUUGCCUAGCAUUAUAAAAUAUUAGCUUUUGCAAAAACCUAACAUUUGCUACUAUAUGCUGAACUGACAUGUUCAUGACAUGAUUUAUUUACAUGAAUCCUCAUGACAACCAGAGAUGUGGAUAUUAUCCUCACCUGUCAUUGAGUAAACCAAGGCCCAGGAUGGGAAGACACUUGUCAAAGGUCACAGAUAUUUCAAGUUCACAUCACUCCAUAAAUCAAUGCUCAUAAAUCCAACUGUGUGUGUGUAUAUGUGUGUGUGUCUGUCCCUUGUGGGUUUUGUUUUUCUCCCAAAUGAAGCACAAAGGGUUAAUCAACAUUCAU